rnacentral:rRNA from 1 species
CCUAGUGGCGGACGGGUGCGUAACACGUAGGCAACCUACCCUCGAGUGGGGGACAACCUCGAGAAAUCGGGGCUAAUACCGCGUAAUGUGUUGGGGUAAUGCCCAAUCACCAAAGCCUUCGGGCGCUUGAGGAGGGGCCUGCGGCCUAUCAGGUAGUUGGUGUAGGUAACGGCUCACCAAGCCUCUGACGGGUAGCUGGUCUGAGAGGAUGAUCAGCCACAUUGGGACUGAGACACGGCCCAGACUCC